UACGUAGGGGGCAAGCGUUGUCCGGAAUUAUUGGGCGUAAAGCGCGUGUAGGCGGCCCGGUAAGUCCGCUGUGAAAGUCCAGGGCUCAACCCUGGGAUGCCGGUGGAUACUGUCGGGCUCGAGUCCGGAAGAGGCGAGUGGAAUUCCUGGUGUAGCGGUGAAAUGCGCAGAUAUCAGGAAGAACACCCGUGGCGAAGGCGGUUCUCUGGGACGGUACUGACGCUGAGACGCGAAAGCGUGGGGAGCGAACAGG
rnacentral:rRNA from 1 species